rnacentral:lncRNA from 1 species
AUGGCACAAAACGCGUCCUGCCGAAAGACUCUACAACGCAUAGUGAGAGCAGCUGAGAAGAUCAUUGGUGUCUGUCUACCCUCCCUCCAGGACAUCUAUGGAACACGUCUCACCCGCAAAGCCCUCUGCAUCACACCUGGUAGCUUUAUGAGAAUGAUGACAGCAAUUUUUGGUGACCAGAAUUUCUUGAGCCUACUCUGUUAUCUUGGUGAUCUUCUCGUUUUUGCCCCUAAUGGGAGAACUGCUUUGGAGCGACUGGAGAUGGUCUUUAGCAGAUUGCGUGGACAUAAUUUGAAGCUGUCACCAAAGAAAUGUUAUUUUCUCAGAAAGUCAGUUAAGUUUCUGGGACACAUAGUUGAUGAGACAGGUGUCUCUACUGACCCUUGUAAAGUCGAGAGUAUUGCGAGAAUGACUUGCACUGAUCUGAUGGAACGUGAUGGCGUGACUCCAAGUCAAAAACAUAUAAGGUCGUUUCUUGGCAUGGUAAAUUAUUACCAACAUUUCAUACCUAAGUAUUCAUCCAUUGCUAGAUCUCUCUUUGAAUUGCUUACAGGGCAGACGAGAAAGUCUAAAGGUGGCUGGAGGCUGAAGAGAUCUUCACAGGGCCGUAAGUUGAGUCGUGAGCACUGGACUGAUGAUCACGUUAGAGCCUUUGAGAUGUUGAAAUCAUCCCUGCUUACUAGUGUGGUUCUGGCACACCCGAACUUUGAUCAGCCUUUUAUGCUUUCCACUGAUGCCUCUUUGGAUGGCCUUGGGGCUGUUCUUUCUCAAGUGCAACAGGGUGACACUAUUGCCAGGCCUAUCGCGUUUGCUAGUAAAUCGUUGUCUCGGUCUCAGAGGAAUUAUCCUGCUCAUAGAUUAGAAUUUCUAGCUUUAAAAUGGGCAGUAUGCGACAAGUUUAGCCAUUGGCUAAGAGGUAAUAAAUUCACUGUCUGCACUGAUAAUAAUCUGCUGACUCAUAUCAUGACGAAGGCGAAAUUGGAUUGUUGCGAGCAGCGAUGGGUAGCAAAGUUAGCAAGCUAUGAUUUCGACAUUAAGUAUGUCCCAGGCUCUCAGAAUUCAGUUGCUGAUGCUUUAAGCCGUGUGCCUUUUGUGAAUGUGGGACACAGGUUGCUGAAUGAGUCGUUUAAUCAUCUUAGGUGCAAUAUGAAAAAGAUGUCUGAUGCUUCUGUUCAAAAUGCUUUUAGACAGGCAGCAAGUGGUGCUGACCAAUUCACUCACGCUGAUUCUGUUGUCCAGAAUGCUACAUUAAUGCCAAAUGAUGUUGUUUCAGCAGUCCUGCAGUCUCACAAUGAGUGGGAAGCUGGUGCUCGAAUACACGCUCUGACGGCUUUGCAGAAUUUGCCACAGAUGGUUGACACUGAUUUUGACUUUUUCCCUGCUUACACAAUGAGCGAACUUUGUGAUAAACAACGCAGUGACAAGAUUCUCUCUCGUGUUUUGGAGUAUGUAGAGAGAUGUCGUAGGCCCUCUAGGAGAGAGAGAGUGAAAGAGCCUGCUGCAGUUGUAAGAUAUUUGAAGCAUUGGGAGAAACUUAAAAUUGUUGAUGGGGUGUUUUACAGGGUGUCUAGGGAUAGCUUGUUGAAGACAAAGCGAUUUCAGUUUGUGGUGCCAGGUUCUCUCAGAGCUGAGGUGAUGAAGGGUACUCAUGAUCACGCUGGUCAUCAGGGUCAGUUCAGAACCCUCAGCCUGGUGAGACAACGGUUCUUUUGGUUGCAUUUUGAUAGGGAUGUGCGUGAAUAUGUACGCCACUGCCAGCGAUGUGUUGUGAGCAAGACUGUUGAACCUGAUGGUAGAGCCCCUCUAGUAAAUAUUCAGUCCGGCAAGCCUCUGCAGAUUGUCUGCAUUGACUUCUGGUCUGCUGAAAAUUCGCAGAAUAAAUCUGUUGAUGUCCUUGUUGUGACUGAUCACUUUACUAGACUGGCACAGGCCUUCCCAUGUAAAAAUCAGUCAGCUAAGGAGGUAGCCAGGGUUUUAUGGGAUAAAUAA